rnacentral:tRNA from 1 species
AAGGGAAUGAAGUUAUCUGAAAGAAGCUGCUAACUAUCUUUUAUAGUGGUUAAAAUCCAUUUUUCUCUUA